AUGCGGGGGAUGAACCUAGUGCUGGGGGAGGAGCACCGUCGAGAAGCCGCGCUACGAGUAGCAAGAUACCAGCAGGCGCUGCGGCGGUAUCAUUGCCGCAACAUCCGCCCCAGGACUCUCGAGGUAGGUGACCUCGUGCUCAGGCGGGUGCUCUCCAGGGAAGGGCUGCACAAGCUCUCGCCCAUGUGGGAGGGCCUGUUCAAUGUUGUCCAUGUUUCCAGGCCUGGCGCCGCGUGCCUGGAGACUCGGGAGGGGUUGCCCAUCCCAAAUGCAUGGAACAUUCAGCACCUUCGGAAGUUCUACCCCUAA
rnacentral:rRNA from 1 species